UUUAUGGAGAGUUUGAUCCUGGCUCAGGAUGAACGCUGGCGGCGUGCCUAAUACAUGCAAGUCGAGCGAACGGACGAGAAGCUUGCUUCUCUGAUGUUAGCGGCGGACGGGUGAGUAACACGUGGAUAACCUACCCAUAAGACUGGGAUAACUUCGGGAAACCGGAGCUAAUACCGGAUAAUAUUUUGAACCGCAUGGUUCAAAAGUGAAAGACGGUCUUACUGUCACUUAUGGAUGGAUCCGCGCUGCAUUAGCUAGUUGGUAAGGUAACGGCUUACCAAGGCAACGAUGCAUAGCCGACCUGAGAGGGUGAUCGGCCACACUGGAACUGAGACACGGUCCAGACUCC
rnacentral:rRNA from 1 species